GGUUCGGUUUAUCGUUUGCUUCACAGCAGUAGAACAUUACCUGGGACAAAAAUUUUAUGAUUUAUGUAGGAGAGGCUGAGUAUGAGAAAAUUCCUAACAAUUUCACUACUCAUCGCCAUUUUACACUUAUAAGAAUCAAAAGUUUUUUUUAAAAAAAAAACCUGUUCCCUCAGAUUACUCAAUUGACGUUUGAGGUUACGUUUAUAUGUUGAACCAAUCGAUAUCAAUACAAUCGCACCUGUUUGAUGUGUCGAAUACGAUCCAUACCUUGAUUUUCUGUUUUUUGCCUCCCUUUUUUGCAGAGACAAGGUUAAAACCUGCUCUUGAACGAAACUAUUUUUAACGACAGCAAAAACUCUUGGUACGUGUGAAAGCACUCGGCUCUGCUUGCGCCACACGCGGAGGGAAAAAGUAAAUAACUAAAAAUUCGCGUAGGAUCAAAAGGAUAAAAAUUUCAUUUUCCAACAACUUGAACGUGCAAGCUUGUUCCCGUUGAUUAGUGUUGAGGUUGUUCUUGAUUGGUGCGCAUGUUGAAGUUCCCUGCGUUCGGACCGCCAGGAGAAUAUUCAGACCUACAUGAAACCGACAUGUCAAUGGAGACAAUUGGCCCUGAUCCUGGUGGUCCUGUCAGCGCUGAUCCCGCAAGGCCUAGGACGUGGGAAUGGAUGGCCAUUUAUGAGUCUGAGAAACUCGAGGCUGAAUAUUCAAAGGGAACGCUCCUGUUAACGGGACACGCACGGCUCAUGCUGGCCCUUGACGAGAAUACACUCGUGCGGAUGCCUUGGAGGCAUCAGAGCAAUCAGAAGUACACGUGGCUCAUCAAAAUCACACUUCCCGUGCCCGAUACCUCACAAAGCCGCGCCCAGAGGUUCGCUUGUAUUACUUCUAAUAAGGGGCCAUUGAAGUAUUACCUAAUGCACUCAGGGGGGGAGGGGUGGCUAGCCAGCGUUACAGUGCGUUACAAGGGGAAGGGGGGGGGGGGGGGUCAAGCCCAAAAUUGCAUAACACAUCCGAGCCGAGGAAAAAACGUUGAAAAAGACGGGCAAUGGUUGACUUACUCAAAAUUGGCCAAGUGAAAUUUCCGGUAAAAUUAUGAAAAACAUAAAUCUAAUUAUUAUCAUGACGUGUAUUUUCACACCUUUGUUGAUCUCUUCCCAUCGUAUUUCAGCGAAAAAUCAACCUCCCCCCCUCCAAAAAAAACCGGCUUUAUUUUCCAUGUUUUUAUCUCAGCGUUUUCUUGAUUUUUUUUUUAAAUGGGGAAGGGUCAGGCCAGCGUUACGUAAUGGAAGGGGAGGGGGUGUAAGGCUACGUUACAAAAAGGGAGAGGGGUCAAAAAUUCGGAAAAAGGCGUUACGUAAAACUUGAACGGCCCCUAAUUGCCCAACGGUAAAGGUGCAAAUUAAGCAUUACGAUGUAUAUUUUCUUUUCGAAACUGCAGUACUUAGUUUUUUGGGACAAACAUGAUAGACUGUAACCUCUAACCAAGAUUUGGCCGAGCUCCAGAAUCCCUUUUUAACGCCUUUGAUGAAUAAAUUCAAAUUCCCGCUCAUAGAAAAACCAAUAUCCACUAUAUGGUAUGAAAAUGUAGCAAUCUCAAUCUUAGGGCUUCAUUUCAGCGCACGUUAUAUAGUAUUUUUAACCACACAAGUUUUAGUGGCCAGUUCGAUACCUCCCUAAACCCGCCCUCAAAAUGCGUUUUCCCUUUUUUGGAGGUCAAAAAUGAAAAAAACGCUAAAAAUUAUCCCCAUAAACCAAUUUUCAUCAAUAUUGGUUGAUAAACAUUGUCACAGUGUUAGGAAGACGAUUUUUUUCCUCUAACUUCGGUGGGGCGUGGCCCCCCAGGGAAAGCGUUUUUGGAAAAACAAGUUAUACCCAAAAACGUCUUCUUUUCACCCCAAGAAUCGACUCCUUCAAUAUUCGUACUUAAUCCUGGGACACCAUGUAUACCCAUGAAGUCCACUAACGAAUCUCAUUUGUCAAAAUUAGGAUAGAACUGCCUGGAUUUGAUCCAGACAGGGCGGUGGCACUGGCGAAACUCCUGCUAGGGAAGAAACUCCCGUACGAAAAAAACCGAAAGACUGAGAAAGAUUGGAUCAAUUACAUUUGCUGCAGUAGACCUCCGAACCCCCAGUGCUGCCCUUGGUGUCUGCAGAACCGCCCACUUACCAGCGCCGAAAUCAAAGAUGGAUUCUACUUCAAGGACCUCAGUGGCAACCUUUCAAGGGCCAGCGAACUCGCGCCACUCCCUAAGGAUAUAGAAUGGGAAUGGAGUAAGGAAAACUGGUCCAAUGAAUUCACCUUUCCUCCUGAUGAGAUAAGUGAUAUUUAAUUUUAGAUUAGUAGGCUCAUGGUAGCGACAAGCACACCUUUAUCCAACUGAGAAUGGCUGAAUUUUUAGCCGAAACGUUUCGGUUUUGUUCGAGAAAUUUCAGCCUUAUUAAAAAAAAUAAAUUUAAAUUGUUUAAAUUGUUUUUUAAAUUGUUCCUAAUUGUAUAUCUUGUCACGGGCUGCGGAGCGUCCAUCAUAUCUCACACCCUUAAAGCUUUGUAGCUGGUGCUCGGAUCCUCACCCGAAAAGUUUAGUGCAACGAAAAUAUUGUAAUAAAAUUCAAUUGCCUGCAAUUCAAAUUCAAUAAUGCAUCAAAUUAAAUCCAAUGCAAUGCAAUACAAUUAAAGUGCAAAAUAUUGUAGGUAAAUGUAUAAUGUGUGUAUAUUUUAACGUCAUUUAGUCAAGGAAUGCCGAAUUUAGACGAUCAAUGGCAUGAGUCCCACUUGAAGAGAAGAUAGGCAAUUUGCAAUGCAGAAAAAAAUCGCAAUUUAGAUCAAUGUGGAGAACCCCUUCCAUUAGUAAAUAGGCAACACACAUAACGUUCCGAUGAAAUGUAUUGGGGUUGCUUGAGCAAUGCUGGCUGUCGAGCUUCAAUCAAACUGUCAAAAGCCCAAUAACUAGGCCGAAUUUUUGGGAAUUUCACCGAGUUUAAUUGACAGGGAACGAGAAAUCACCUCCUGUUACUUAACUUUCCGGAGUAUGGAUGUUACCGAGAUUUCACCGUGUUGGUCAGUGCAGAACUGAGGUGAAAUAGAAUAAUGUACAUAUAAUCGGUCGGUUUCAUUUUUCUCUGGUCACGUACUUUUCUUGGUGCCUUUCUUGGGCCGGAUAAUCUACACCUACAAGAAAUAUCGUUAUACCAUGAACUAAUUUUUCUGCGUUACUGUUCCAUCUAUCUCCUAGGUGUUGGACGUCCAUCCGAUUAUCCAGCCGAAAAAACUAACAUUUUCACAAAAGAACUGGAAGCAGUGCAAUAUUGCCUAGAUUCUACAAAUCCUUUUAUACUGCAAAAAAAUCUACGGAUGUAGACAUUUGCUAUUUAUGUCCACAAAUAAACUUGAUUAUUUUGAAAAUUAUCUUGAUUAGCUUUUAACCCUCAGCUUAAUUUUUUGGUUUGCUUUCAGAUGCAUUUUUUCGGGUUUGGAUGUUGAGAGUGAGUUAUUAUAUCAUUUUUUGCACAUCUCGCUGCUUCCAAAUUUUUUAAUUUGCUUCCCAAGGUGGAGGAUAUUAUGAAACACCGCAUCAAUAGAGGGAGGGGUUGUUGUUGUUGUUUUUUUUUUUAAAGUUUCAAAUCGAUACGUGAAUCGCGAAGGAAGAAAUAGUGGUAGAGCGUGGCCCAUGGCCUCGUCAACCUUAAGAGAUUGAGAGGCUGUCAAUCCUUGUCAAAGGAUAGCGCAACACCUGCACCUUUUAUUUUCAGAAUUCCGAAAAGUUUUCAUGAUGCAUUAUUCAGUUCAGUCAUUUACCGUCAGUUGAGAGAUGCUGCGAAAUCCUUCCGCAAAAGUUGUAAAUUUAGUUUCUAGACGUAUCCGAUAAAGCCUUAAAAUGAUGCUAAACAACGCACUAAAAACAAGCACAUAAUUAAUUACCUCCUCCCCGAUACAUAUUAAUAGUUUUUAUUUUAAAUUUGUUAUCAUAUUUAUUUUCUUUUGUUCUAAAAGAAUUUAGUAUAAAAUCGAAUUUGCUGAUUGCGAGAUGAAAAAAACCCGUAAAGUUUAAUGAACAAAUAACACAAAUGGCAUAUAUUGAUGUUACGUUGCAAAUGAAAAUGUAUUGUUUCAAAUUAAAUAAAACACGUUUAAGUUUAAAUGUAUAUAUUUGCAGUCUUUAGAAUUGAGAAAAACUUUGGAAAUAUUCUGUAUUGUACUUCAAAUUGAAAAUAAGCACAUUUUCAUGUUCACAUUUUAAUUGUUUAUUUACUUUUCCAUAUUUUACCACGUUAAGGCAUCUCUUGGUUUUUGUAAACAAGCUGACUGAAAUAUUAAAAAAAAAUUAAACACAACAUUGGGAGCAACUCAUUUAGUUCGGAAACUCGAUUGGGAAUAAAUACAUUUUAAUUUCCAGCGAUACUAUUUGAUUUAUUUACUUGUGGUGAUGAAUCGAAUCGUGUAUUUUAGCAUUAAUUCUGACAGCAGUAACAAAUAAAGUGACAGUAAAUAAUUCUCCGACCUAAAUUUCUGCUCCCAGGAGCAGUAAUAUAAGCUGCAAAAGCAUUUCCGGAUUUCACUACUGUAAAACCAUAACAAGGUGACAUCGAUCGUCCACUUGCUGCGAUAAUAUGUUUUUCAAUUAACUUUCGGACGUGAGUUCUAACUCAGCAUAUGCCAGAAACACGUGAGUC
rnacentral:lncRNA from 1 species